UACGUAGGGGGCAAGCGUUGUCCGGAAUCAUUGGGCGUAAAGCGCACGUAGGCGGCCCUGUAAGUCCGUUGUGAAAGUCAAAGGCUCAACCUUUGAAUGCCGAUGGAUACUGCAGGGCUAGAGUCCGGAAGAGGCGAGUGGAAUUCCCGGUGUAGCGGUGGAAUGCGUAGAGAUCGGGAAGAACACCAGUGGCGAAGGCGGUCUGCUGGGCCGUUGCUGACGCUGAGGCGCGACAGCGUGGGGAGCAAACAGG
rnacentral:rRNA from 1 species